rnacentral:precursor_RNA from 1 species
CAAUCGUCAAUGGAUAGAACAGAAUGUAAAUAAAUUUAGCGUUCUAAGUUUUUACUUUAUUAGACUACAUCAUGCGUAUUAGGGUGUAUAUAUGAGACAUGAAGUUAACAUUGA